UGAGUAACCUGCCCUUAACUCUGGGAUAAGCCUGGGAAACUGGGUCUAAUACCGGAUAUGACUCCUCAUCGCAUGGUGGGGGGUGGAAAGCUUUUUUGUGGUUUUGGAUGGACUCGCGGCCUAUCAGCUUGUUGGUGGGGUAACGGCCUACCAAGGCGACGACAGGUAGCUGGUCUGAGAGGACGACCAGCCACACUGGAACUGAGAUACGGUCCAGACUCCUACGGGAGGCAG
rnacentral:rRNA from 1 species